rnacentral:lncRNA from 1 species
CGGCGGGAGGUGCGCGGUGUUGUUGCGGGCGGGCAGAUCUGCAGUGCUGCACGCGCAGCUCCUCUGCUGCUGUCUCGCGUGAAGAGUUAUUCGUUUUAAAAACAUCCGUCCGUACGUGCGGACAGGUGGCCGCCGUGCGGCUGCGUGUGCUUUUGGGGCACCUCGGAAGCUUCGCAUCUUGAAGUCAGGCUUUGGGCGCGGGGCUCGGGGCGGCCGUACCGCUGGGAGGGCCGGGAGGGGGAGGAGGGCUGCUUUUGUCUGUGGAGAAACCUCUCAUCGCGGGCAGAAGGUCCUGGGAGCUGGUCUGCAGUAGCUGUGCUGAAAUCGAAGAAGGAAAUAUAAAGGGUUUCAAGCUGUUACAGCAUUCAUACACAUCUGAUGAUCCUCCAGACUCUGUAAGAUGUGGAAAUGAGCAGCUAAAUACACUUUUGCUUUUAGCAAACAUUUUCUGGGACUGAAUAUGUUGGUAGGGCUGCAGUUGUGCAGCGGAUUUGGAGUUGUGAGUAACCAGGAACCUGGACACGGGUUGGACUUUUGACACGCCGAUGUCUGGAGAUGUUCUCUCACUCAUGGCUCAGAGGACUCUGGAAUUACCUCCGUGUGGCCAUGGCAGCCCGCAGGAUGGAGGAGCGCAGUGCAGGUGCGUAGCGGAGGCUCUUGUGGCGCCGCGCCGCAGCUGGCAGGAGUCAGAGAAGAAAGCAAAGAAAGAAAAAACAAGAAUGGAGGAGGGGUUGUAUUCCUGGAGAGCUGUGGUAGGGCCCCAUUAGGAGGUGGGGUAGCGGCCCCGUGUUGUCCCGGUGCUCAGAGAGGAGGAUGAAUCCACGUUAUCCCAGCAGCACGUGCUGGUGCAGAGGGCUGCUGGUAGAUGUGAAGCACGGCACAGCUGGCGUCGUGUCCUCUGCUGGCCGUGGGAGUGAUGAAGUUGCUGUGUCAGUUUGCUUCUUCCUGUGCUCUGUGCCGUGGGUUUGUGUCCCACACACUCAUGGUGUGGGGGCUGCAAUCUGCAUCCUGCGCUUCAGUGUCUGUUUCUUUAGAAAACAGACUGCAGUUGCAGUUUAUGUAGAACUGCUCUUUUCAAAAAGAGAUGAUGGGCCUGAUUUGGACUCAUUGCGAAGUCCCUCAAAUAUCUUGGGUGUGACAACGUGAUUUGUCCUGUUUCUCCAAGUCUGGUAUUUCUGCCGGGCAGGGUGGAUGCUGCGAAGCUUUCUUUUUGACCUCCCCAACCUUAGCUGUACAACAAAGAACAGAGAU